rnacentral:rRNA from 1 species
UGGGGAAUAUUGCACAAUGGGCGCAAGCCUGAUGCAGCCAUGCCGCGUGUGUGAAGAAGGCCUUCGGGUUGUAAAGCACUUUCAGCGAGGAGGAAGGUGGUGAGCUUAAUACGCUCAUCAAUUGACGUUACUCGCAGAAGAAGCACCGGCUAACUCCGUGCCAGCAGCCGCGGUAAUACGGAGGGUGCAAGCGUUAAUCGGAAUUACUGGGCGUAAAGCGCACGCAGGCGGUUUGUUAAGUCAGAUGUGAAAUCCCCGGGCUCAACCUGGGAACUGCAUUUGAAACUGGCAAGCUAGAGUCUCGUAGAGGGGGGUAGAAUUCCAGGUGUAGCGGUGAAAUGCGUAGAGAUCUGGAGGAAUACCGGUGGCGAAGGCGGCCCCCUGGACGAAGACUGACGCUCAGGUGCGAAAGCGUGGGGCAGCAAACAGGAUUAGAUACCCUGGUAGUCCACGCUGUAAACGAUGUCGAUUUGGAGGUUGUGCCCUUGAGGCGUGGCUUCCGGAGCUAACGCGUUAAAUCGACCGCCUGGGGAGUACGGCCGCAAGGUU